rnacentral:lncRNA from 1 species
CAGGAAGUUCAGAGAGUUAGUGGGGGGAAAGUAGGUUAAGUGGGAAGUGAAAGCCAUCAAUCACUUCAUUCCCCAGUGAUGGAAAAAAAGGAAAGGCUGGGUUAUACCCCCAGGAAACAUGCCUGCUUCUCGGCUCACUGCAGGGGCAUACCCACUAACAAAUGCUCGACCACCUCAUUAUUUAUAUGGCCACAAAAGUAAGACUGAGAGGAAAAAUACUUUCAUUUUUCACCAAGCAAUCACCACAGACACAGCAUCAGAGAGUCUUCAGGAAGCGGCAUUCAUCCCAGGGUGGCCUUACCAUGCAAAGUGAAAUAAAGACAGCAUCCAUCUCCGUCUCUGUCUCCGUCUCCGUCAGACUGUGCUCAGUGAGGCAAGCUUUGAGUGGACUAUAACAGGGAAGCACCUGUUGAGGCCUGCUGGGAAUCGGUUACUCCUGCUACCCGGAAAGAACGAGAAAAUAGCCCUGGAUAAAUAACAAUCUCUCUGAGGCUGCUAUGGAGGAGAUCAUGUGACCUUAGGAAAAGCAACUGUCAUCUGCUGAGCUGUAGCAAGAACCUUCAGGAAGAUGGAGUCAGGUGGUGGGAGCUCCAUCAAGAAAGAUUUCAGGGUGGGGAAAUGGCUCGCUGAAUAAAAAGCCUGCUGUACUGUUA